rnacentral:miRNA from 1 species
AUUAUAUGUCUUUCAAGUUCUUAG